rnacentral:rRNA from 1 species
UACGAAGGGGGCUAGCGUUGUUCGGAAUUACUGGGCGUAAAGCGCGUGUAGGCGGGUCUUUAAGUCAGGGGUGAAAUGCCAAGGCUCAACCUUGGAACUGCCUUUGAUACUGGAGAUCUUGAGUCCGGGAGAGGUGAGUGGAAUUGCGAGUGUAGAGGUGAAAUUCGUAGAUAUUCGCAAGAACACCAGUGGCGAAGGCGGCUCACUGGCCCGGAACUGACGCUGAGACGCGAAAGCGUGGGGAGCAAACAGGGAUUAAGAAACCCUA